rnacentral:rRNA from 1 species
UUUUAAAUGGCCGCAGUAUUUUGACUGUGCAAAGGUAGCAUAAUCAUUAGUUUUUUAAUUAAAAGCUUGUAUGAAAGGCUGGACGAGGUAAAAUCUGUCUCUAUUUAAAUUAUAGUAGAAUUUAACUUUUAAGUUAAAAGGCUUAAAUGUUAUUAAAAGACGAGAAGACCCUAUAGAUCUUUAUAAUUUAUUAAAUUAAAUUAAUUUAGAAAUAUUAAUGUUUUAUUUAAUUAAGUUAUUUUAUUGGGGUAAUAAAAAGAUUGAAUUAAUUCUUUUUUAUAAUAAACAUUAAUUUAUGAAUAUCAAUGAUCCAGUUUUACUGAUUAUAAGAUUAAGUUACCUUAGGGAUAACAGCGUAAUUUUUUUAGAGAGUUCAUAUCGAUAAAAAAGUUUGCGACCUCGAUGUUGGAUUAAAGAUUAUUUUAGGUGUAGAAGCUUAAUAAUUUUGGUCUGUUCGACCAUUAAAUCUUUACAUGAUCUGAGUUCAGACCGGCGUAAGCCAGGUCGGUUUCUAUCUUUAAUAAAAUAAAAUAUUUUAGUACGAAAGGACCAAAUAUUUAAUAUAUUUAUAUUUAAUUUAUUGAAUAUUA